rnacentral:tRNA from 1 species
GAGGGUAUAGCUAAAAGUGGUAGAGCUCAUGCCUAGUAUGCAUGAGGUUCCAGGUUCAAUCCCUAGUACUUCCU